rnacentral:lncRNA from 1 species
GUUUUUCUAGGCCACCAUUUCAGGUAAACUCUCUGCAAAUCAAUCCCAGAUGCACGAGGAUCUUCCUCGGGGCCCGCUUGACUGGGCAGCGGGAAGGAGGAGAGGCCUGAAGAAUGAGAACCAAAAUUAUUUCAGUUUCAUGGUCCUUGUCCUUGAGAGAAUUCUUAUCUGGAGGGGCAGAGCUUAAAAAGUAAUAAAUACAAUUUAAAACAGACACACAAAAAACAAGAAAUCAUUGGGUGGAAAUGAAAGAGAAUAGUAAAGUACUAAAUUACAUAGUUCACACUUGUGCUGUAGAAGGUCAAAAAAGAAUGUGUUCUUUUUUAAUGUGUUCUUUUUUAAAUGUGUUCUUUUUUAUGAAAAGAGGAGAAAAAUGCUUAAAAUGGGCCCUGAUGAGCAAAUUAACACAGAGAAGGGAGAUCAGAGGACAACCUGAGAAGGAAAUGGAAAUCAGAGUCCAAACGUCAGGGGCAGCCCCAGCGCUUCACCUGAGUGGCCAUGAAAGUCACACUGUGGCUCCCAAGGGACCUGUGACUGAAACGAAACUGAGACGGUCUGCUUUCUCUUCGGAUUUGCAUCUGGCCUUACCAUGCCUCAGCCUAGGCCGUAUAUUUAAAACACAGGGUAAGUGUGGUAAGCUGAUUCUUCUCGCUUUUUUAUUUAUCUUGUUUUCUUUGCCUUGCAGUACUGGGGAUUGAACCCAGGACCUUGCACAUGCUAGGCAAACAUUCUACCCCUGAGCUACACCCCAGACAGUGUGUGUGCGCGUGCAUGUGGUAGUGGGAGUUGCACUCAGAGGCACUCUGUCCCUGAACUACGUCUCCAACCCUUUUUUCAUUUUUCAUUUUGAAACACGUUCUUGCUAAAUCACUGAAUUGUCCGGGCGGGAACUUGCAAUCCUCCAGCCCCAGGCCUCCCAGAGUGCUGGGAUUACAGGCUGUGCCACCGCAGCCUGGCUUCACUUUGCAAUUUUUGUUGGAUUUUCCUUCCUGCAAGGGCUCCGUGAAGACUUUCUCCCCAUUCAAGCCUGGUUCUGAUUCAGCUGACAGAGGAGAGUCUAGAGAGGCCUGAGGCCCAGGACAAAGUUCCACAGCAGACAGGGGAGCAGGGGUGGUCAGCUGUGUCAAUGCCCCGGACUUUCCCUUUCCCUCCCUGCUUCCAGCUGAAGCACCUGGCCCUCUCGGUGGAGCCUCAGGGGCGCCCAGCGAAGGUGGUACACAGCACUCUGACCUCCAUCCUGCCUCGCAUUUCACGCUCAGGUCUUUCUGUCCAGCUCUGGGCUCCCCACGGUCUCGCAGGGAACAAACCUUCCCUCUGCCGCGUUGUUCGGUUGUUCGAAGGGCGCCCACCUGUGCUUCCCGCUCCUUCCGCC